CGGCACAGCACGCGGCAGACAUGGCUCGUCCAGGCUGUUAUCCCACUUGCCUCGCCCAACCCUGAUUUGAGUACGGCUAUUUGGAAAUUCCAAAAAUGAAGAGAGCAGAGCAGAGCAAGCAACAAGAACCGUUCGAAUAGCACGAUCUCACCAUCCAGAGCGAUCGAUCGAGCGAACAAGCGAAGGAAAGGAACGGCAAAACGCAUACCCAGUGGGCCAGGAGCAAGAGUGGGAUGGAGACAACGGGAAAAGAAGAAUAGGAACAAUGUAAACAAAGCGCCCCAUUCCACAAAAACCAAAUUUCCAAAUUACCAAAAUUACCCGAUGAUGAAGUCAAUUGUUGUAUACAAUAAAAAUUUGUUGCUGUUCUUUUUGUUUUCCUUUUCGAAAGUUUUUCUAGUUCGACUACUGCCCCCACCGUCCCCCAGCACACGCCCUCUGACGCCAUCGACUUAGCCUGUUCAUGCGCUUUUUAUACUCUUUACAUAGGAUACUACGAAUGGUAAUAUCCUAACUGAUACUUUGCAUCGAUCCUUAGAUACGAUAGAUUUAAAAUUGAG
rnacentral:lncRNA from 1 species